rnacentral:rRNA from 1 species
GACGAACCGUGCGAACGUUGUUCGGAUUCACUGGGCUUAAAGGGCGCGUAGGCGGGCCCGCAAGUCAGGGGUGAAAUCCCCCGGCCCAACCGGGGAAGGGCCUCUGAUACUGCGGGCCUCGAGGGGGGUAGGGGCCGACGGAACUUCCGGUGGAGCGGUGAAAUGCGUAGAUAUCGGAAGGAACGCCGGUGGCGAAAGCGGUCGGCUGGACCCCCACUGACGCUGAGGCGCGAAAGCCAGGGGAGCGAACGGG